AAUUCGCCCUUAGAGUUUGAUCCUGGCUCAGGACGAACGCUGGCGGCGUGCUUAACACAUGCAAGUCGAGCGAGGUUUGUGGAAGUUUCGGCGGAAGCAAAUCGAGCGGCGGACGGGUGAGUAACGCGUGAGCAAUCUGUCCCGUACAGCCGGAUACCAGAUGGAAACAUCUGCUAAUACGGCAUAAGACCACGGAAUCGCAUGGUUCAGAGGUAAAAGAAAUUCGGUACGGGGUGAGCUCGCGUCCGAUUAGAUAGUUGGUGAGGUAACGGCCCACCAAGUCAGCGACCGGUAGCCGACCUGAGAGGGUGAUCGGCCACAUUGGAACUGAGACACGGUCCAAACUCCUACGGGAGGCAGCAGUGGGGAAUAUUGGGCAAUGGGCGGAAGCCUGACCCAGCAACGCCGCGUGAGGGAAGAAGGUUUUCGGAUUGUAAACCUCUGUCCUCAAGGACGAAGGAAGUGACGGUACUUGAGGAGGAAGCCCCGGCUAACUACGUGCCAGCAGCCGCGGUAAUACGUAGGGGGCGAGCGUUGUCCGGAAUGACUGGGCGUAAAGGGCGUGUAGGCGGUCCGAUAAGUUUGGAGUGAAAGUCCUGCUUUUAAGGUGGGAAUUGCUUUGGAUACUGUUGGACUUGAGUGCGGAAGAGGUAAGUGGAAUUCCCAGUGUAGCGGUGAAAUGCUUAGAUAUGUCACAGAACCCCGAUUGCGAAGGCAGCUUACCAAGAUACAACUGACGCUGAGGCACGAAAGCGUGGGUAUCAAACAGGAUUAGAUACCCUGGUAGUCCACGCAGUAAACGAUGAAUACUAGCUGUUGGUGAUAUAUUGUCAUCGGUACAGCGAAAGUGUUAAGUAUUCCACCUGGGGAGUACGCCGGCAACGGUGAAAUUCAAAGGAAUUGACGGGGGCCCGCACAAGCGGAGGAACAUGUGGUUUAAUUCGAUGAUACGCGAGGACCCUUACCCGGGCUUGAAAGUUAGUGACAGACCCUAAAAGGGGUCCUUCCUUCGGGACACGAAACUAGGUGCUGCAUGGUUGUCGUCAGCUCGUGCCGUGAGGUGUCGGCUUAAGUGCCAUAACGAGCGCAACCCUUGUCGUUAGUUACCAGCGGGUAGUGCCGGGAACUCUAGUGAUACUGCUACUGUAAGGUAGAGGAAGGUGGGGAUGGCGUCAAAUCAGCACGGCCCUUACGUCCGGGGCGACACACGUGUUACAAUGGUCGGUACGGAGGGUUGCUACCCUGCGAAGGGAUGCUAAUCUCAUAAAGCCGAUCUCAGUUCGGAUUGGAGUCUGCAACUCGACUCCACGAAGUUGGAUUCGCUAGUAAUCGCGCAUCAGCCAUGGCGCGGUGAAUACGUUCCCGGGCCUUGUACUCACCGCCCGUCA
rnacentral:rRNA from 1 species